AUUGAACGCUGGCGGCAGGCCUAACAUAUGCAAGUCGAGCGGAUGAAGGGAGCUUGCUCCUGGAUUCAGCGGCGGACGGGUGAGUAAUGCCUAGGAAUCUGCCUGGUAGUGGGGGAUAACGUCCGGAAACGGGCGCUAAUACCGCAUACGUCCUGAGGGAGAAAGUGGGGGAUCUUCGGACCUCACGCUAUCAGAUGAGCCUAGGUCGGAUUAGCUAGUUGGUGGGGUAAAGGCCUACCAAGGCGACGAUCCGUAACUGGUCUGAGAGGAUGACCAGUCACACUGGAACUGAGACACGGUCCAGACUCCUACGGGAGGCAGCAGUGGGGAAUAUUGGACAAUGGGCGAAAGCCUGAUCCAGCCAUGCCGCGUGUGUGAAGAAGGUCUUCGGAUUGUAAAGCACUUUAAGUUGGGAGGAAGGGCAGUAAGUUAAUACCUUGCUGUUUUGACGUUACCAACAGAAUAAGCACCGGCUAACUUCGUG
rnacentral:rRNA from 1 species